CUGAAACCCGGGAAAAUUGUAAUUAAAAAAAAAAAAAAAAAAAAAAAAAGAAAAAAAACAAGAAAAUAUCUGAUUCUCUCAGCCUCCCUCAAUCUCUUUCAUAUUUUUAAGUUCUAACCCUAACUCCCUAAGCCCAAACUGAUUCUCUCCGCCUCCCUCAAUCUCAACUUCUCAACGCGGCUGUCCGGCUGUCCCAACUCGCUCCGGCCACCGCCCACUGCCGACACCUCCCUCAUUCUCUCAGGCAAUGCACACCGAUAAUAUCUGAUGGUUCAAGCGUUACUUUGCACACAAGAUUGGCUUAGAGCUAAGGAAGUGGCAAUUGUUGAUGUGGAAGAAAAUUUGAAAGAGUUAGAGGAAAUAGAGAAAGAGGUGCAACGUGGUGAAUCUAACGAUGUAGACGAUGAAGUUGUUUUCGUGGACUCAUUAGUGUGAAUCACGCGAUCAAAGGGAAAACAACUCGUUGGAGAAUUUAUGUAUUCCUAGUACUUGAGAGUUGAGACUUAAGAGAAUUUAUGUAAUUUUAUGAGUUUUCGUGGACUUAUUUGUAUUUUCGGUGGACUCAUUUGUAUUUUUGGUGU